AUAUAAUGUAGUUAUAACUACAUGCAAAUUAUAAGUUCGGUGUUUGGUUUGAUGUAUUUAACUCCAACUGCUGCAGUAGGAACUGCAGAAGGAGGUCCAACUAUAGUAGUUGGAACUAUACCCAAAUUGGCUGUAGUUCCAACUACAGCAGUUCAAGAGAGCGGUUCGAGAGAGUAACUUUAAGCAAAAAGUAAGCUUACCUCUCUAAUUAUUUCUUAAACAAAAAAUAUAUUUUUUUUUUUACAUUGGAUGUAAUCUCACCAUCAUGUACGUAAAAUGAUAAAAUUUUAAAAAUUAUUUCUCAACUACAUGCAACCAAAAAAAUUAUUUGUAGUUGGAGCGCUUUCUACUAUAUUCAACCAAACAAGAUGUAUGUAGUUACAACUGCUUUAUUUUCAACUACAUGCAUCUCUAACUACACUGUAUUUAUAAUUACAUCUAACCAAACGUCCCCUAAGACUUGCUAAUGGGUACUUGGUUUCUUAUAAAAGCGUAAAAAAUUAUUUUUUAAAAAAAAUUUAUAAGUUGUGAGAUAUUUUUAAAAAUUGAAAAUUAAAUAAAAAUAAUUUUUUUUUAAAUCUGAAAAA
rnacentral:lncRNA from 1 species